GCGGUGUCCAAUCGUUACGUGUCCAAACGGGAUACUCCCCCAGUCUGCUGAAAUACUCCCAGAAGCUCCAGCAGCUAUCGAGGACGAGACUUAGGUAUCUCAUCCGGGCCCUUCCCACCGUUAUGUAGGGCUGCAGAAGGCUCCUCACCCGAGGCUCGGCGAACCAGAUAGCUUCGGUUUUGUAAAAGGCCACCCGCUCAACUUCGUGAUUCAGUCGACGACCAGUGCCACCGAUUUGGAGGCCAGCCGGCUGACCCCGUCCCAGUUAUCACCAGAGGCCACCAAAAGUGUGUCAUCUGCGUAACACACGAGCUUGGCCCCCGGGGAUGCAGAACCCAGUUGUAUGCCAGAUUCCACAAUGAAUGGGCCCAAGAACCGACCCUUGCGGAACCCCGCAACUGAUCCCCCUCGAGAUAAAACGGCCGUCCCGCCCGACAUACCGGAUGGACCGGUGACUGAGAUAGUCCCCGACCACCCUCCUCAGGUAAGGAGACACCCCAAACUAAACAAGGCCUUCCGGAUCCGACCUUAGGGCAGGGUGUUGAAAGCGUUGCUGAUAUCCAAUGAUACCGCAAUCGCCACCUUGCCCCGCACACAGUCUCCUCCACGAGAGCCCGCACACGGAGGACACCGUCUGCCGUGGACCGGCCCACCCCAGCCAGAUGCCGCUAGAGGCGGGCAGCCAGCACACGCUCAAAGAACUUGCCCAUCUCGUCCAACAGACAUAUCGGGCGAUAUGCCGAGGGGGAGUCCGCUGGACGCUCCUCCUUAGGAAGGAGCACCAGCCGGCCGACCUUCCAUAUAAAGGGGAACCGUCCCGCCACCAGGCAGCCGUUAAAUAGCCGCCCGGACGUAAUUGUGGUCCGAGCCAGUCUCUGAGUCCAGAACCCUCCAGUCCACGACCGCCCGCGCAAUGGACGGGGACUCCAGCGUGAUAUCCACAAUGGGGACCAUUCACCUAACGCACGUAGGCCUCGAACCCACGUUCAGCACGCGGAGAUCGAGGCCGGCUGCCCAGUCCCCGAGGACCUCGCCCCUCGCGUCGACCACCGGGGAGCCCCACUCCGCUGAUUUGGCGUUGAAGUCUCCAGCGACCAACACCCUUCCCGGGGGGGGGGGGCAGCAGCGACCACCGUCCCAAUACGGGACAGCACGUCGCCGAAGCUCACGAGAUCCUCGCUAGGCAGGACGUAGACGCUGACGACCACAGUCCUCCCUCCAGCGGGCGGCGACAAACUCCCGGCCCCUCUCCACCAGCAAGAAAGGGAGGGGGAACGUCCCACAUCUACCUUGCACGAUCGCCGCCGAGCCUCCCAGGUCCCCCAACCAGUUCGGUCUGGCCGGGGGCACAAAAUAAAUCUCGGAGACGAUCGCCAACUCUAUUAACCGCUCCGCCAUCGCGUGGGCCAAGAGGUCCUGGGCUCUGGCGGAGUGGUUCAAAUUUGCCUGAAGGAGAAGGCGCGGGAAUCCGGGCAUUAUAUCCCAGUCUCUAUUGCCUCCUCCCAGCGACCCUCCUCUCGAACCCGAGGGAUCCUCCGCGGCAGCGGCUUUAUAUAGAGGCUCAGGUCCGCUGGCCAAUGAGAACCCUCGUUUUCAUAAACGGGCGAGAUAUUCCCAUCCGAGGGAUAAAUUGCUUCAUUGCAUAUGUAACUUCAUGUAACAGACGCUGAAAUUAGCAGCGUAUAAGUUUCUGACGAGAUGUGUCAGAAUUAUUAAUUAAUGAACGGACCUGAGGCUUUAGCAUUGCGUACAAACGUACCAUAAGGUGCGGAACGCCAUGGCAGGCAUCUGCGCAUGCGACCCCAUGGCGUGCGAGCGAGAAAGACGUUUUGUGUGAGAGAGACAACCUCUUGAUGCUCGCCGAUUGGCGAAGAGACAAUGCCUAACAACAACGAGCCAAUCGAGAAGCAUCAAGGUGGGGAGUGAAUCUGGAACGAACGGCUUGGCGUCCCCUGACUAAAAAAGUCUGCCUUCGAACUCGAGAAAGGACGGACGUGAGUCUCCCAAGUUUCCGCGUAAUUUAUAUACGUACUUAGUGUGAUAGCAGUAACGGGUGCGUAAUAAUUAAUUUGUUUCGCGAUACCACCCGCGAGUUAUCGCCAAGGCAGUUUUUCCGCAUAAUUAUCGCGACGCGUUAAAUAAUAGUGAAUUUCCGUAAUCACGUUGUGCGAGAGGCGUGACCGGAAACGAAACAUGCAUAUGUGUAACCGUGAAUUUUCAAUUGUGAUGGGCUACGGAUAGCCGCGGUUAAUUCAGGGUUCGGGCGGCGGGCUGGUUGAAUGAAUGACGAAGGCAAGCGGUAUAUGUUUGACAAUAGUAUUUAUUCUAAUAUAUAUCCUAGCUAAUAUAUACAAAGUCCCUACUCUGACAACUUACAACUAAGAUCUCGCUAUGCGAGUCGCGGGUGAUUGGUUAUGGCGACGUGUGUCGCGGAGCGCAUGUGCGCGUUGAUUACUCGGCGCCGGAUUGGCUGCGGCGGGCGUACGGCCCGUGUAUCGGUCGGUGCGUCGAUCGGCGUUAGCGGCCGGUCUUACGGAUUACAAUGCUCGUGGCGGUGUAAUCGCGGCGGUGUAAUGUGUGGCGGCGUUCGUGUCGGUCUCGGUGGUAGCCGGAUUGGCUGCGGCGUUACGGUCGCGGCUGCGCGGUACGAUGCGGCGUUCGCAUUCGCUGAGUCGGUCGGUGCGGCGUCACGAUUGGUCGCGGCGGUGCGCGACUGCGCGGUACGGCGCGGAGCUCGGCUCGACAGCCACGGUGAUCAGCUGUUCGACGAUCAGCUGUUAUUAUCGUCGAGGAUCAUCCCGCGUGGAUGAUCCUCCGCGUCGGCGGUUCCCCCUCAGUACGGGGUCCCCGUGUGCGGUCGGGAUCGGUAGCUCAAUACGCGUACCGAGAUCCGGGUGUCGAGCGGGGCGGUGUUUUGCCACUCACAGCGUGGCGCGAGGAAGCGCUCAAUGCGCACUAGUGAAGGAAGCCGGGUUUGCGGUUAUGUUCGGCACUCAGUGCGUGCUCUGGAUACUCAGCUCAAUUCGCUGAGUGGAUCGGUCGGCUCAGUACGCUAGACCGGGGAGAUCUGAUUUCUUAUCACCAGCGGAGGGCUUUUAUAGCCCCCGCUUGGUGACAAGAGGAGCGGAGAUGUGUGGGGAGACCGAGAUAAGCGGAGGGGACUACACAAGAUAGGAGGGUAACGGCCUCGUAUCUAUAUGCCUUAACGUGGCGGAGGAACGGCUCGUUACAUAUAUAACGCAGUAAGACGCAGCCAACGUAUCUGUGUGCGUGCGUGAGAAAAUGUGUUAAUAAAUAAAGCAGAGUAUGGUGAAAUAGUGAGGCAUAUUAUUUAUUGUGCGAUCCUAACAUCCUUCCCGGACGAGUCCAUCGUUUGGCGGGAAAUUGUGUCAUCCCACGCUAUUCAGACAGGACGACUUUCCGAGGACAGGACGACUAGAGCGAGGUCCCAGAACAGCAAGAAGACAUUCGAGCAAGGGACUUCCCAUUUCUAAGCGAAAUUCACACGAGAUCCCGGUGCGGCCAUCCCGAGGGCAAGGCCGAUUCCACACCUUGGCGGCGAGGUAUAUCACCGACCUGGCGACCGUGUUAACAUCCAACAGGAGACGCCCAGACGGAGUUGCAGCCAACGAUGUCGACCGGGGCAGCAGAGCUGACGGGAGCUGUCACAUCCACUCCAACAACAUCGAAAGAAGAGCGGAGCGCAGUGAGAGUAUCGAGCGUGAGGAUCCAGAGACUGGAUAGCACAAAAUCUCACGCAAGUAACGAUUAGUCUAGAGUCAGUUCGAAAAAACAAUUUUAUUUUUAUCUUUUAUAAUUUAUCGAUUUUAUCUUAUUUUGGAAAGUUUCACUGUCUUUCAUAUUUUAUUUCAAGUUUUCUUUUAAUUUUCUUACGUCGCGUAAAUCCGAAAGAGUUGCGAUAGUUUAUAAAGAAACCCUUAUGUUUUAUUACGUUAAUUUUAAGUUUACCAUUAUAAUGUUAAGCUUAGCGUUAAGAAAAGGCGCGCGUGAAUAAAUUGACAACGCGUAUUAUUUCGUUAUUUUACGAUUAAAUUUCUCAAAGUUAGUUUACAUUACUUUCCAUAUCUUACGUUAAUUAAAAUACGUUAAUAAAAACGCAAAUAGUGCAGGAGCAGUUGACUGAAUAUUAUUUUCUUUCUGUAAUUAUUAUUAUUCUAUUAUUAAAUAUUUUAUUUUUAGUUUCAUACGCAUAUUGCAUGCUGAUUACGAUUUUAUAAAGAGAAAUAUCAAUUAAAUUUAGUUUUAAAACAGUAAGAGCAUUCCUGUAACAAGGAAAAAAAGGUGCACACGGUGGCACCAGAAAAUGCAAUCGCAUUUAAGGCGGUAAGCCUGCGAACAUCUCAUAUUUAACAUCGGUACUUUUAAGUGCUCCAAACGCACUUCUAAGUGCAAAAAAACAGACUAGACAUUGUGUUGAUUGGCCAAAGCACGAGUGGAGGAGAGCAGCAAAGACGAAAACUACCUCCGAGCGCCGUGAGUGGCCGAGACACGAGAGAGAGAGAGAGAGUUGGAGAGACAUCGAGAAGCCGCAGCGCAACCGAAUUGGGCGAAACUUUCCAUAGACUGAGAUACUACGCGCUGAUUGGUCGUAGCGGCCGGAGCGUGCACGACGGCUCGACGCCGUAUAAAACGAGGCGCAGCGGCGUCUCAGGAGCUUUUUUUAGCCCAGAUACGAAUGAGGCAACAUUUCCGCGAUACUUUAACUCGCGUUAUAGGAGAUAUCAAAACAAGAGUUCUGGAUAGGCGACCGCGACAACCUCAGGGUUGGGCUCCCCCCGCGACCAUACUCCCACACAUUUAGGGUGGUUAAAGUGCGGGGGGAGGGACAUUCGGGGCAUACGGUGGACCGCGAUUGCGUAUCUCGGUGAUCCAGUGGUCCACCGGUUACCCCGGAGGCAGGUAACCACCGAGGGGUUUAAUGGGUAUGCCGUCGCGCCUCUGCGGUUGCGCGGCGGUGAGUCCCACAUAACCCUUGCCCCAGGGCGGGGGCAUGCGUAAGACGCAUUCCCCUCGUUAAAAAAAAAGGCGACCGCGACAACAAAAUGCAACACGACGCCGAAUGCAAGUAGGCGUAAUUUCAAAUUAGUUUUUCGAAUAAAUCCGAGUGAAUACAACGCGCUAACCACGAAACGACUGUGAAUAAGCGACACGUUCGGGAAAGUGUAAAUAGUGCUAAGGCAUUACAUAAGACAGCGAAACGUGUGUGAAGAAGCGACGCGGACGGAAGUUUGUUACUUUAAUUACUAUUAAGUUUUGAAUAAACAGUUUAUUUAGUGUUACUGAAAAAACAUAUAAUGAAUUCCAUUUGAUACUUACCUGCGACGUACCUGCAUGCGGUCCGACGACGAGUCCUGACGAAGUCUGAGAAAGAGAAAAUCUUAUUAUUAAAAAUUUGGGAGCGAGAGAUCGAGCGAAACUAACACAUAAAAUACCUGAGCGUAUUCCUGGAAGGACGAGACAAUACUGGCAGUCCGAAGUGGAACGACGGCAGCAGCAGUAGUAUCUGAAACAAAAUAAAAAUAUAACGUAAAAUUAAUUAAAAGCUUUAGUGACCCACUCGAGUGAGUGUAUUAUUAAAUUAAAAUAUUAAAACAAUCCUUACGUGAUCCGACAAGGACACAAAGAGACGCGAUCCGACGGCAAGUGACAGGAAGGAAGGAAGCCAGUCGUGACGCGCAAACCUUGUUUCUUGGAGGAUAAAGGAGCUGGCGACUAGAAGGACAUUACAAGCUUUUAUCGAAAGGUUUAUGAUUUUGUUAAUUUCCGAAACGAUUCCAUUUCCAACGUAGUUAAGAUCGGUCACAACCUCGCGACCGACGCAAGCGUCGCUCGCCGGGUUCGAGUGACCGAUCCAUCGUUCGUUAUAUGAAUGUGCGAGACACGCGAAACGAGAAUAAAAUUAUCGCAGGUACGGAGUUUAGACCGGCGAAGUAAGAAUUACCGCGAUACAACGGUCUAACUAACGCACAUACGGUAAAUACCGAAGGUUACGGACCAAUUAUGAGACCGUGGACAGGGAACCCUUACGCGAAUGGAGAGAUUGUCGAGGAAAAGGGGAACGACGCCGCUGAAUCGAAAGCGAGCAGCGAAGGCAGUCAGUCCCGGACUAGUCUUUGAAACGGACAGGCAUAAAAACGCGACUCAGUAAUUUUUUAGUCAAAAACGGAAAAGGCACUCGGGGCGUUUAUACGCGCAACACCGAGGCUACCGCGACUCGAGAUAAGAACGACGCGACGCGCAGCGACGUGUUAAAACCAUCAUGCGUUCGGAUACGACGUAAAACGCGACGGGCGUUGUGCGCAGUUAACGCGGCGAGAUAAUCAACGAGGUGAUUCGGAAUUAACGAGCGAGACGAGGAACGCACAACCGCGGACGUGGCGAUCUUUGCGCGAAGUCACAAAAGCCUGUAUCGAAUUGACACCGAUCUUUCGAGAUAAACGCGAGAUUGUGAAUUGCGAACCGAGGCGAAGGCGCGUCCAACGCGACGCGGACAUCGAUUAAGCGUAUGAGUGUGCAAAAGUAUGUGUGUGCGAAAGAGAAGAAAGAAGCGGGCAAGUGUAGUGAAGUUGUAAAACGGAAAUAAAAGAAAA